CUGUUGGGAAGGUCACUGGGGACAUGGUUGGGGACACGUUGGGGAGACGUUGGGGUCAUCGUUGGGGACACGAAGACAUCGUUGGGGACGUUGUUGGGGACAUUGUUGGGGAUAUGGUUGGGAUUGUCAUUGGGGACAUCGUUGGGGACAUGGUUGGGGACAUCGUUGGGAAUAUUGUUGGGAACAUGGUUGAGAAUGUCAUUGGGGACAUCUUGGGGACAUCUUGGGGACAUGGUUGGGAAUAUUGUUAGGAAUGUCAUCGAGGACACGUUGGGGACACGGUUGGGAACGUCAUUGGGGACACGUUGGGGACAUUGUUGGCGAUAUGGUUGGGGACAUUAUGGGGUAUUUUUGGGAAUGUCAUUGGGGACAUGUUUGGGGACAUCGUUGGGAAUAUUGUUAGGAAUGUCAUCAGGGACACGUUGGGGACGCGUUGGGGACAUAAUGGGGACAUCUUGGGGAAGUGUUGGGGACAUCAUUGGGGACAUGGUUGGGGACAUCUUGGGGACACAAUGGGGGCAUUUUGGGGACAUCAUUGGAGAUACUAUUGGGAACAUCAUUGGGGACAUGGCUGGGGACACGUUGAAGAGACGUUGGGGACAUCGUUGGGGACAUCUUGGGGACAUCGUUGGGGACAUGGUUGGGGAUAUUGUUGGGGAUAUGGUUGGGAAUGUCAUUGGGGACGUCAUUGGGGACAUCUUGGGGACAUCUUGGGGACAUGGUUGGGAAUAUUGUUGGGAAUGUCAUCAGGGACACGUUGGGGACAUGGUUGGGGACAUCUUGGGGACAUCACUGGGGAUAUGGCUGGGGACAUCUUGGGGAUAUUUUUGGGAUUGUCAUUGGGGACACGUUGGGGACAUCAUUGGGAACGUCAUUGGGGACAUUGUUGGGGACACAUUGGGGACGCGUUGGGGACACGUUGGGGACACGCAUCUGACCUGCUCCAGGAUGUGCGUUCGCCGGGUGGCCGCGGGGUCCUCGUCCUCCUCCUGCGGCCCAUCCCUGUCCCUGUCCCUGUCCCUGUCCCUGUCCCUGUCCUUGUCCUUGUCCUUGUCCUUGUCCUUGUCCUUGUCCUUGUCCUUGUCCUUGUCCCUCUCCUUGGUGUCCCCGUCCCGCUCGGGCGCCAUGUCGAAGAGCUCCCGGAUGGUUUGCUGGGGGACAAGGUGACAACGGGGGGGUCACCGGGGGGGUCUUUGCCAUGUCCCCAAGUGCCACCAAGUGCCACCAAGUGCCACCGAGUGUCCCCAAGUGUCCCCUCACCUGCUUGAAGUAGGCGGUGGUGAAGUUGCCCCCCUCGAUGGCCAUGUCCCCGAGCAUCCUCUUCUGGUUGGCUUUUUUUAGGAUGUUCUCCUCCACCGUGCGCUCGCUGAUCAAUCUGGGGGAAAAAAAAACAAAAAAAAGGUGAGUUUGGGGGAAAAAAGUGAUAAAAAGGGAGAAAAAGGGAGAAAAAGGGAGAAAAAGGGAGAAAAAGGGAGAAAAAGGGACAAAACGGGGAUGUCACCCACCGGUAGAUGUGAACGUUGGGGAAAAAAACCCCAAAAAUAAAUUGAGUUUGGGGAGAAAAGUGACCA
rnacentral:lncRNA from 1 species